rnacentral:rRNA from 1 species
AUACGGAGGGGGCUAGCGUUGUUCGGAAUUACUGGGCGUAAAGCGCGUGUAGGCGGAUCGUUAAGUCAGGGGUGAAAGCCCGGGGCUCAACCCCGUAACUGCCCUUGAUACUGGCGAUCUAGAGUCCGGAAGAGGUGGGCGGAAUUCCCGGUGUAGAGGUGAAAUUCGUAGAUAUCGGGAGGAACACCAGUGGCGAAGGCGGCUCACUGGUCCGGCACUGACGCUGAGACGCGAAAGCGUGGGGAGCAAACAGGAUUAGAUACCCUAGUAGUCC